AAAGAAAGGAAAAAAAAGAAAGAAAUUCAAAGCUCUCUCUUCUUCUCUCCGUGUACGCAAAGCCGCAGCCCCCCUAUGUUUUCAAGCGCUUCGCGUCAAGCCCUACCUGCCGUCGACUGCUUCAGCAACCAGCGUCGUCGCUUCAUCACCCGCCGACGUCGCAUCUUUGACCACUCCAGUCCACCGUCGACUGUCCGCCGCUCGUCACCAGUAAGGUACUCCGUCGUCACUAAUAGCACUAGUUCGAUGUUGUCGUCCGUCGUUUGCCAUCGCUCAGCCUCUGUUGUCGGCGAAAGCCACUGCCAUCACUUGUCGUUACCAAAAGUUUGGAAUUUUAGUUUGAAUUACUUUACAUUGAAGGAUUGGAAGUGAUUUUGGGCCAAGCCACCGUUGCAGUCUUGAAUUAAGAUUGUGUUUGGCAAAGAGAAGAUAAGUGUACUUGAGUAUAUUUUGGGCCUAAAUUUCGAGGUAAGUAAUCUUGCUACUAGAAUCGUCUUCGUAUCAGACGAUACAAUUUUAUGUUUGAAAUAUGUUAAGUGUAAGAGCUUGAUCUUGAUUUUUAUAAGAUGUUUUAUGACGAUGAACGAGCCUGAUCUAAAUUUUAUAUGAUAUGUUAUGAGGAUGUAUGUGCAUGAUGUAUUAUUUCCAUGUUGUGGGACUCUGAUUUAUACUACAUGAUAAGUUAAUUAGUGAUGAUUACCUCCUACCUAUAGUCAUAUACCUACUAGGGGUUUGAGUUUUCUUCGGGAUUUACAAGAGGUUUGUGUCUUCCUCGAGAUUUAUCAAAGGUUUGUGUCUCUUAAAGGAUUCACCAGAGGUUUGUGAUUUCCUUCGGAUUUUCACUAAAGGUCAGUGAUCUCCUUUGAGAUUUCACCAAAGGUUUGUGAGUACCUCUCAUCUACGGUAGGAGGGGUUCAAUUAUUCACUAAAUGGUCAUCCAUGGUCAGUUGAGGUUUUUUGCACGUCCCACAAGAAUGUUGCAUUUAUUAAACAUAAAUGCAUAAUCUAGCCCCAAUAGUAGAGUUACUUACUAAGUAUUUUAUACUCUUCUCUAUUAUGUUUUUUUAGGAAAGGGUAAGGAUACAUUGGCGAAUGACAGGUGGAAUCCGUAAACUUUUCCUAUGAUUUCACAGUUUGUCAUUGAAUUUAGUGAACUUUUAGUUUUUGCACUGUUGGUUGUUUUAGAUAAAAUUUUUUAGUGAUGUCUUUAUUUAUUUAUUUUUAAUUAAGGGUAUCAUGUUUAAUGAUUUUCAAUUAUUUACUUUUAAUAAAAGUUAUUUAUUCUAUAACAUUUAUUUGGUUUUUGCCCAUUCAUGAAAAAUGUCGUUUUGAGGUGAAUGCAUGUAUAUAGUAAUGGCCUAUUACAAGUCCUAGGGAGUCGAGUCGUUACAACUAUGGAUACAACCUACUUUGCAAUAGUUACAAAUUGUUUGAUCCAAACUGUUCAUGUGGAGACAUGUGAGUGAAGUUAUCUUAUACAAAGAGUUUAUAUAAGAUUGAACCAUGAAAUAUUUAAUCUUUUAUAGUAAAUUCAUUAAUUGAUGAGAUUAAUAUAUCAUAGGAUGAUCAUGUGCAACUUGAUCUUAAUCUUAAGUGAUUUAUGAACUCCUAUCUGUGAGGUCAACCCUUUGAUUUGCGCAGGUGAAAAUGACCCAAGUUGUUGACUCAAUAAGCCUACCAUUUUUGGGACUUAACUAAAUGAGGAGCUCAAAACAUAACUUCACACGAUGGAAUUCACUCUUUCCUGCAUAGGUAAGUAAGUAGAUGAGUAGUUCUCUUAAGCAUUGAUUUCGAGUCUUGAACAAGGGAUCCCACCCUCUCACUGGCCCAAUAGGAACUUAGUUCAUAGUUGGAUCAUUAACAAAUUGUUCAUUAGAGAAAAGCAGUGUUACUUAAGGAAAAUAGGUAAUUGUAAGAGUACAACGAAUAUUUGACCAAACUGUAACUAUGAAUAACUCGUGAAGGAUCGACUUGCUUAUAUUAAUUAUAUCUAUGUGAAGGAACUCUAAAUCGAGAUCCAGUGAACGAAAGCGGAUUGUUCCAAAUCCUAUUGAGAAAGAACAUAAACAAUUAUAGUCCACACAGAAACGAUUAUGCAUAAUCAGAAAUUACAGCAUGCUACUUAAUAAAGGAACAAACAGGGAUAGAGUGUGCAAACCUUUGAAGAACCUUCAAAUAUCCCUCGAUCGUUUAGCAAAUCGUUCAAUCAGCACGAACUUCGAACGCAACGAUCAGAACUCGAUCUCAACGAACGUCUGAAUGAACGUCGAUCCUAAUCGAAUCCAACUCGAUCCUCGAACUGAAUAGGAAUACCAACACAAGUGUUAUCUUGGUAUUCUCGAUGUGAGAAUCUAGGAGUUGUAGGCUUUGUAUGAUUUUGGAUUGAGGAAAGCAGGAGGUAGACGAUCGAGUAAGUGGGAGAUGUAUGUUGUCUAUCAUAUAGACGAAAUACUCAAUCGUUUAGAAAGAUGAAGCCUAUCGUAUAGACUUUGCUACUCAAUCGUAUAGCAACAAGUAAACGAGUAAUUAUCAUAUAGUAAACUCGUAACUCGAUCGU